rnacentral:rRNA from 1 species
UACAGAGACUGCGAGCGUUAUUCGGAUUCACUGGGCGUAAAGGGUGCGCAGGUGGCCAAGUGUGUUAGGCGUGAAAGCCCGGGGCUUAACCCCGGAAUUGCACCUAAAACUACCUGGCUAGAGCAUUGGAGAGGGGAGCAGAAUUCAUGGUGUAGCAGUGAAAUGCGUAGAUAUCAUGAGGAAUACCAGAGGCGAAGGCGGCUCCCUGGACAAUUGCUGACACUCAGGCACGAAAGCGUGGGGAGCAAAAGGG